rnacentral:antisense_RNA from 1 species
UGUGGGAGCGGGCUUGCUCGCGAAAGCGGUGUGUCAGUCACCUUGAUGUCUCUGAUACACCUCUUUCGCGAGCAAGCCCGCUCCCACA